UCGUGUGACUCAAACAACUCCGAACUAGUUAAAGAGUCCAAAGCCGCAACAUAAGAACACCUUCCUUCAACAUAAAAUUACUCUCUUUUAUUCUCACUUUUUCAAGAACUCUCCAAUAUUUUUCUUUCAGAUUUUUUCUCUCACCAAAAGCUAAGGAUGAUUUCUAUUUAUAGGUUAGAAGUUCAUCCUUGGAGUGAAUUAGAUGAGUAGUGGGAUAAUAAUAUGAGUAAAUAAUGAGAGAAUUAUUACUUAGCGUUAUAUGAGUUACAAGAAGAAUGUGGGUAAAUUAAUUAUGAUAAUGGAAAGAAAAGUUACAAAGCAAUUGAUGGCCACAUUCAUCCAAAUAUGGACGUGGGAAUUGAACUGCACAACCAGGAAUCUUGACAGCAUCACUUUAAUAUAAUUAUUUGUAAUAUUAAAAUGCUAAUAACCCAACAAAUUGCAUAUAUGAUUGAUCAUAUAGUCGUGCCUGCAUGUUUCUUAAAUUUUCAACUUCUUAUACAAUUUUUUUUUUCCUCCUAUGUCUUUUCACUUACACACAAAAAACUAGAUCAUCCUUGCAUAAUAUUGUUGAGGAAAUCUUUCUAUAAGAGCUUUGAUUCAUUAUGGCGUGCUUAUAAUUACUUGAUCAGUACUAAUUAAUAAUCUCACUUUACUUUAAUUUAUUAUUUAAUAUAACAGAUCACCAUUAUGGUGCUCAAGCUCAAGGUUGAUCUUCAAUGUUCCUGUAGCUACAAGAAGGUUAAAAAAAUUCUCUGUAAAUUCGAUCAAAUUAGAGACGAGGUAUAUGAUGAGAAGGCCAAUACAGUCACAAUCACUGUGAUAUGUUGCAAUCCUGAGAAAAUUCGUGACAAAUUGUGUUGUAAAGAAUAUGAAGUGAUCAAGAGCGUUGAAAUCAAAAAGCCUGAAGACUCUUCAGAAGAACCACCGACAACACCAGAGCCCAUAAAAGUGCCAGUGCCAAUUCAAGUGUACGCGCCAAUUCAAGUGAACGUGAAUGGACCAAUUCACGUGUACCCACGUUUCGGCAAGGGGCUGCAGAUGUGAUUGGUACUUCAAUGAAGAAUGGGCCACAGGAUGCUCAAUUAUGUAAGGUGGCCCAAUGGCAACUUGAUUAUUAUGGGUCAUUAUCUGGGCUUAUCAAUGCAUCUUUUGAUUGGCUCCUCUUAAUGUGGUUUGUCUUUUUCUUCAUAGAUGAAAAUCAAUGUAUGGUAGCUUUUUUUCUUCUUUGCUUUUUCUUUUGUCAACUAGAAUAAAAGGCGUUAACCAUAUUGUUGGUAAACCCUUGAUUAAUAAAUGCCAUUUUUCGACAUUA